rnacentral:rRNA from 1 species
GUGGUCCUACGGGGCGCAGCAGUGAGGGAUAUUGGUCAAUGGGGGAAACCCUGAACCAGCAACGCCGCGUGAGGGAAGACGGUUUUCGGAUUGUAAACCUCUGUCCUCUGUGAAGAUAAUGACGGUAGCAGAGGAGGAAGCUCCGGCUAACUACGUGCCAGCAGCCGCGGUAAUACGUAGGGAGCGAGCGUUGUCCGGAUUUACUGGGUGUAAAGGGUGCGUAGGCGGGAAAGCAAGUCAGAAGUGAAAUCCAUGG